CGAGCGCUUCACUUCGGUGGGGAGCGGCGGACGGGUUAGUAACGCGUGGGAACAUACCCUUUUCUAAGGAAUAGCCACUGGAAACGGUGAGUAAUACCUUAUACGCCCUUCGGGGGAAAGAUUUAUCGGUGAAGGAUUGGCCCGCGUUAGAUUAGUUUGUUGGUGGGGUAAUGGCCUACCAAGACUACGAUCUAUAGCUGGUUUGAGAGAAUGAUCAGCCACACUGGGACUGAGACACGGCCCAG
rnacentral:rRNA from 1 species